UCACAAUAUUGCCAGCUGUCAACACCAAUCACAGCAACAGUUCGGAUUAUUCGGGCGUUAUAUCUGGGGAAAAAAACGCAAACCGUUCGAUCAGGUUGGUCUUUAAAGUAUUACUAUAUCCAUGCUGUUUGCCAUGCUGACAUCGGAAAGAUCCACAAACCUACAACUUGUAAACUAAAAACAUUUUUUUUAUAAAUAGCAUGUAUCUGGACUUAUUAAUACUUGGUUCAAGCGCACACAGAUUACAAAAUGAAAAAAAAAAGUUUUGUUUUUGGUGGAUUUUAAUGUCUUCCAAAUGUGGACGCCUGAGGAUUUACAUAUUGACAAAGCAUUUCUAUUCCAUUUGUACAACGGCAGUUUGUUACUCUCAAGUGGAACUGGAACAGCUUGCUAUUCACGAGGCUAUAAAAUGGUACGUAUUCGACAUGACAAAAUCCUGACCAGCCACAGAAAAAAAACCCCAUACAACUGAAAGCUGUGACCUUUCUUUUUGUAUUUUAUUUACUAAUACUCAUCAAGCAGGGUCCCUAUUAUAAACUUAUUUAUGUUGUACACAACGAGGAACAGCAAUGUCAUUGGACAAGCACCAAGUAUAACCACUUUUUCUCUCAUCCCAGACCUGACCAACCAC